AGGGCUGUUCCUGAAACAGAGCCCCCAGAGCCCCCAGUUUUACCUUUCGGUUCUUCCCGACAGCCUGUCUUCCCAAAAUACAGCCCAGAACUCGUGGUAACUCAGAGAACAUCAAACACCCUACACCCUGGCCUGCCAUUUAAAGCAGUAUCUUUAGAGGAAGAAAAAAGACAAAGCACAGAAGAUGUUAACUUUGUAUAAGGUAAUGAAUUAAAAAAUCUUAAAUGUUUGCUGAGAAAUAAGUUGAACAAUGAGGAAAGUAAAACAUGGUUUCGAGAAAACUAGAAGUCUCCUGAUCGACUACUGAUGCCAUGAGAGAAAGUUUGUAAGCCAUUAUUUGUCAUGGCCUUCUCUCUAGGCUUUCUCCUAAUUAAAUUUUCAUCAUAUCUUGUGAUUUUUUUUUUAGUCUGAGUAUUCCUAUUUCCUAAUAAAAUUUUAACUAUGGAAAAAGCCUAAAAUCUCUACGAUGAUUAAGAAAGGGACAUAAUUCUAUCAGAGAGUACAAUUCAGUUCAGUUCAG
rnacentral:lncRNA from 1 species